AACGAACGCUGGCGGCGUGGAUAAGACAUGCAAGUCGAACGGGAGUUUGUUUAUAGCAAUAUGAGUGAACUCUAGUGGCGAAAGGGUGCGUAACACGUGGCUACCUACCUCGAAGUUGGGGAUAGCUCGGCGAAAGCCGGAUUAAUACCGAAUGUGAUCGUGAGAUCAAAGCUGGGGAUCGUAAGACCUGGCGCUUUGAGAUGGGGCUGCGGCCUAUCAGGUAGUGGCGGGGUAAUGGCCCACCAAGCCUAAGACGGGUAGCUGGUCUGAGAGGACGACCAGCCACACUGGAACUGAGACACGGUCCAGACACCUACGGGUGGCAGCAGUCGAGGAUUUUUCUCAAUGGGGGAAACCCUGAAGGAGCGACGCCGCGUGAGGGAUGAAGGUCUUCGGAUUGUAAACCUCUGUCAUCUGGGAACAAAGUGCUCCACCUAACNCGUGGAUUAUUGUAUAGUACCGGAAGAGGAAGCAGUGGCUAACU
rnacentral:rRNA from 1 species